AUUGAACGCUAGCGGCAUGCCUAACACAUGCAAGUCGAACGAGUGGCGGACGGGUGAGUAAUAUAUGGGAAACUGCCCGAUGGAGGGGGAUAACUACUGGAAAUGGUAGCUAAUACCGCAUACCAUCGGAUGUGCCAAGAUGGGAUUAGCUAGUGGGUGGGGUACAGGCUCACCUAGGCGACGAUCCGUAGCUGGUCUGAGAGGAGGACCAGCCACACUGGAAAUGAGACACGGUCCAGACUCCGACGGGAGGCAGCAGUGGGGAAUGUUGGACAAUGGGCGAAAGCCUGAUGCAGCCAUGCCGCGUGUAUGAUGAAGGCCUUCGGGUUGUAAAGUACUUUCGGCGGGGAGGCGUUACCCGCAGAAGAAGCACCGGCUAACUCCGUGCCAGCAGCCGCGGUAAUUC
rnacentral:rRNA from 1 species